GGCAAUAUUUUCUCAUCUGCCCUUUAAUGCAAAUUAGAUGGUUGAAGAGGCGCUUCCAAGUAUCUACUCAGAUACACACAAUGACUGAUUCUGGAAGAAAGUGCAGGUCCAGAGUAUGAAAUGAAAACACAGCUAACACCAAGUUAGGAUCAUGGAAUAAUUAAGCCUGCAAAAGACUACCAAAAUCAUCAAGUACAGUCUUUGAACACCACCAUAUCAACCAAAUCGUGGCACUACGUACUAUGCCACUUCCCUAGGCAGUUCAUUCCAAUAUUUUUAAACCUUUCAGUAAAGAAAUUUUUGUGAUGAAGAAUUCACCUUCAGAAGAUUUUACCUUUCCUUUUGAGGAUCUCAGAAAUGUCAUAUUUACCUAAGGCUCACAGCAUCCAGUGUGGUACCAUUCCAUUUUAUAGAAGGGUAAAUAUGCUGGCAACAUGACUAGCAAAAGGCACAGGGGACAGAACUUCUCUAGCCCUCACACAUAGCCAAAGCUGCAGCAAAGUCACCCAGUGCAUUGUGGAGACGUAACCUGAAGUCAGGAAUUUCUGGGGGAAGUGCUUACUCUUUUCAUUGCUGUGUGUUCUACUUUGACUCUUCCUUGUUCCCAUUCAUAACAGGUUGGGGCCAGAACCGCAGCGUGAUGCCUGCAAAUGGAUUCUUGUGUGCCUGCCUUUAAUAUGGCCUGGGGGAGAUGGAUCCUAGCUUUUCUUCAGAUCCCAGAUAAUCCUGUGAUGCAGAAAGCUAGAAACUUUAAGCAGCUUGUUUGGUGGUACUUCUCCUGUUAUCUUGUUGAUUAAUAUUUUAGGAGGUGUUCUACUGUUGAUGAUGACACAGUAGA
rnacentral:lncRNA from 1 species